GACGAACGCUGGCGGCGUGCUUAACACAUGCAAGUCGAACGGAAAGGCCCUGCUUUUGUGGGGUGCUCGAGUGGCGAACGGGUGAGUAACACGUGAGUAACCUGCCCUUGACUUUGGGGUAACUUCAGGAAACUGGGGCUAAUACCGGAUAGGAGCUCCUGCUGCAUGGUGGGGGUUGGAAAGUUUCGGCGGUUGGGGAUGGACUCGCGGCUUAUCAGCUUGUUGGUGGGGUAGUGGCUUACCAAGUCUUUGACGGGUAGCCGGCCUGAGAGGGUGACCGGCCACAUUGGGACUGAGAUACGGCCCAGACUCCUACGGGAGGCAGCAGUGGGGAAUCUUGCACAAUGGGCGGACGCCUGAUGCAGCAACGCCGCGUGCGGGAUGACGGCCUGCGGGUUGUAAACCGCUUUCGCCUGUGACGAAGCGUGAGUGACGGUAAUGGGUAAAGAAGCACCGGCUAACUACGUG
rnacentral:rRNA from 1 species